rnacentral:rRNA from 1 species
AUGAACGCUAGCUACAGGCUUAACACAUGCAAGUCGAGGGGCAGCAUGGUCUUAGCUUGCUAAGGCCGAUGGCGACCGGCGCACGGGUGAGUAACACGUAUCCAACCUGCCGUCUACUCUUGGACAGCCUUCUGAAAGGAAGAUUAAUACAAGAUGGCAUCAUGAGUCCGCAUGUUCACAUGAUUAAAGGUAUUCCGGUAGACGAUGGGGAUGCGUUCCAUUAGAUAGUAGGCGGGGUAACGGCCCACCUAGUCUUCGAUGGAUAGGGGUUCUGAGAGGAAGGUCCCCCACAUUGGAACUGAGACACGGUCCAAACUCCUACGGGAGGCAGCAGUGAGGAAUAUUGGUCAAUGGGCGAGAGCCUGAACCAGCCAAGUAGCGUGAAGGAUGACUGCCCUAUGGGUUGUAAACUUCUUUUAUAAAGGAAUAAAGUCGGGUAUGGAUACCCGUUUGCAUGUACUUUAUGAAUAAGGAUCGGCUAACUCCGUGCCAGCAGCCGCGGUAAUACGGAGGAUCCGAGCGUUAUCCGGAUUUAUUGGGUUUAAAGGGAGCGUAGAUGGAUGUUUAAGUCAGUUGUGAAAGUUUGCGGCUCAACCGUAAAAUUGCAGUUGAUACUGGAUAUCUUGAGUGCAGUUGAGGCAGGCGGAAUUCGUGGUGUAGCGGUGAAAUGCUUAGAUAUCACGAAGAACUCCGAUUGCGAGGGCAGCCUGCUAAGCUGCAACUGACAUUGAGGCUCGAAAGUGUGGGUAUCAAACAGGAUUAGAUACCCUGGUAGUCCACACGGUAAACGAUGAAUACUCGCUGUUUGCGAUAUACGGCAAGCGGCCAAGCGAAAGCGUUAAGUAUUCCACCUGGGGAGUACGCCGGCAACGGUGAAACUCAAAGGAAUUGACGGGGGCCCGCACAAGCGGAGGAACAUGUGGUUUAAUUCGAUGAUACGCGAGGAACCUUACCCGGGCUUAAAUUGCAGAUGAAUUACGGUGAAAGCCGUAAGCCGCAAGGCAUCUGUGAAGGUGCUGCAUGGUUGUCGUCAGCUCGUGCCGUGAGGUGUCGGCUUAAGUGCCAUAACGAGCGCAACCCUUGUUGUCAGUUACUAACAGGUUCCGCUGAGGACUCUGACAAGACUGCCAUCGUAAGAUGUGAGGAAGGUGGGGAUGACGUCAAAUCAGCACGGCCCUUACGUCCGGGGCUACACACGUGUUACAAUGGGGGGGUACAGAGGGCCGCUACCACGCGAGUGGAUGCCAAUCCCCAAAACCUCUCUCAGUUCGGACUGGAGUCUGCAACCCGACUCCACGAAGCUGGAUUCGCUAGUAAUCGCGCAUCAGCCACGGCGCGGUGAAUACGUUCCCGGGCCUUGUACACACCGCCCGUCAAGCCAUGGGAGCCGGGGGUACCUGAAGUGCGUAACCGCGAGGAGCGCCCUAGGGUAAAACUGGUGACUGGGGCU